rnacentral:lncRNA from 1 species
GAGGUAGUCCUGCAAGUUACUUUGUUUCGUGUAAAAGAGGACGACUCAGGGUUAUUCAACCCUUCUACACUGCCGAGCCAAAAUGUGAGCCAUGCAAAAAUGUUGAAUCCUCACUUGCAGCACCGUGUUAGCUCAACCAAAUCAGCUAAAAAUUAGCAGGGAGAGAUAACUCCAGAUAGACAAUUACAAAACUGUGUCGAUUAGCUCUUAUUUCUGAGUGAUCCUGGUACUCUGGUUUAUUCAGUUUGGAACUUUGAUACUUUUUAUGUCCAUAGGCGUUUGAACUUAGUUAUGGUAGUUUUGAAUCUUUUAAUAUGGAUAUUUUGUUUUGACUUGGAUUGUAUAUAGACUGUGCAAUCUAUUCAAUCAUAAACUGAGUCAAAACGCUUGUCCUAGUGCCGUAUCUUGGGAUUAACUUGUUUUUUGUUUUGGUUUUGGUUUUGAAGUUUGUAGCUUCAUCUGCAUGAAUAUAAUGACUCAGUUACGGUGUGUUUUUUAUGUGAUUGCUGAUGACGAGUUUUUAUACAUUUUCCUUUGAAAUAUAUCUAUUUAUGACGCUGUUUGUUUGAAAUUGUGAUAUAUAUGAUAUGGAUAUAAUACAUAGGGGUGUGCAAAGUUAAAACCAAACCAAAACCAAAACCAAAUAUUGGUUUUGGUUUUGUUCCUGAAACCACUUCACUAAAAACCGGUUUUUAAGUAUAACCAGUUUGGAUAUGGUUCAAAACCGGUUCAGAACCGGUUUGUCAGAAAAAUCAGUUUUUUGAACUAAACCAGUUUUUUUUAUUCAAAAUCCAGUUUUUUGAAAUAUAAGCACAUGAAUUAUGUAGCUAAUAGCCACAUUGUAAGAAUUAAAGCAAUUUUGUAAUCUGUGAAUAGAUAGUAAUAUGCCUUGUAUAAGUUGCAGCAAUUACCUAAAUUUUAUUGUUAUUAUAUUAUGUUAAGAUACCAUUAUGCAGAAUAGAAAAACAAGAUUUCCAAUUAAACUAACUAUCUCUGUUUGAACAUAAAAUUCCAAACUACACUGUUGAAAUAUAACUAGGAUAAAAACCGGUUUGGAUAACCACUUCACUAACCAAAUUCAUUCAAUCACACAACAAAAAGUGAAAUCAAUCAACCCUAAGAAGAAAAAGAAUCCCCACAUGUUAAUUUAACAUUUGAAGCAUUUAUUCAUAGGUGCAUUUCAUGAAUUGUGAUUCGAUUAAAAAUAAAAAGUAAAAUAGAAGGAAGAAUUGGAAAGGAACGAAAAUGGAAGAAUGGAAGCGAAACGAACCGGCAGCGGCGGAGAAAGAGGGGGCGGAAUUAGGGUUGCCAAUUUGGGGGAAUUAGGGUUGCCAAUUUGGGGGAAUUAGGGUUGCGAAUUUGGUGAUUAGGUUUAGAAUUUUCAGAUUUGGAAAUUGGAAAAGAGAAAGAAAAUGGAAAUCUGAAAUGGUUAAAAUCUGGAUCCGAAUUUUAGCCGGUUUGGAUAUCCAACCCGUUUAAAAUGGGUUGGUUGGUAACUCAUUUACAAAAAAUCCAGAUAUUUUAAAGUGGACUGGAUAUGGUUAUGGGUUUGGGCCUAAAACUGGUUGAUAUGCACACCCCUAAUAAUACAUGAUUGCUAUAAUCAUUGGUUUCAUAUAUCCUACUCCAGCCGUUCCUGAAUAUAAGCAAAUUUGACUUUUUAGGUGUAUUCAAUUAAUGAUGUUUGUGGUUCAUAUUAUGGAUCACAUACAUCAUUAAUUGAAUGAAUCUAAAAAGUUAAUUUGCUUAUAAGUAGUAAGGGGGGGAGUAUAUGUUAUACAAGGGGAGUAUAUGUUAUACAAUUCUUGAAAAAGGUCCAAUAUGUGAUAUCUUGUUGUCACAAAUAAGAAACUUUUCAUUUUGGGAUCCAAGUGCAGGAUGAUGGGGGGUUUUCACACUGAAAAAAUGUUAUUUUGGAAAUGGAACAUUCUCUUCUGACACAAAAGGUUGUUGCAAUUUACGUUUUCCGAAUAAAACUUAUUUUACAUUAUAAUGCAAAUAUAGGAAAUACAAGAAAAGUUUCGUGAACUGUAAUGUUUUGGCAUGAAAUGUUUUAUUAAAAAUAAGAAUGUUCUUCUGGAUUUCAAUGCACUUGUUUAUAUGAUUGAUGAUUUAUGCUGUAACAAAUAUGAUAAAGGGAUCCCUUUUAGAUAGUGGUUCUGUCUUUGAUAGAAUGUAAGCUUGUAACCUUCAGGAGGGUUGUCUUUGAUAUUACAAGCUGAGCAGUUUCUAUGGAAUUUGUGUGGAAGAGUUUCAGCUUCGAGCAGUUGUACUUUUUAUUCUAAUGUUCUACAUAUGAACCGUCCAAUAAUAUAGGGGUAAUAACAAAAAGAAUAAAUUGUUAUGAAUGUCAAACUCUUGUCCAUGUUGGUGGCUUGAUUAUUGUGGUUUAAUUUUAGUUAAACUUACUUAGUUAGGUUGUAGUUAGCCAAAAGAUACUUGCAAUUUAUAUUUAGGUUUAAAUAUGUCAUUGGUUACUGCACUUUCACCAAGUUUUUGGCUCUGGUCCUUCUGUUGAGUUAAGUUAAAAAAAAAAAAACGGUAUACCAUGUGGAUCAAUCAUUCCACGCCACGUGGGACACUAAAAGACAACUAUAUUCCAACUUUUUUAUUAUUAUUUCAUUUAUUAUUUUUUGACUUAAGGCCAUGCACUUUCAACAUUUUUUUUUAUAUUAGUCUCUGCACUUUGGUCUUAAUGAGUAUCAUCGACAAAAUCACUUUAAUGAAUACUCUCUUCAUCAACAACAUCGAUUCCGGUUAGAUCGUAUUCAUUCCUUAGACUGAUGAUAUCAUAGUGGAAUUGGGUGGCUUUAGCGAGAUUGACCUCUUUUAUUUAUGCACUCAUGAUAUCACGAAAUUUCUGUCUUUGAUAAAUUAUCUACGAUGUUCUUGUUUUGCGGGUGACUGAUUUUGCUUAUGUUUUCUAUAUUUCAUUGCCAACUUGUGAUUGAGGCUUGAAAGUCUAUGCUGAAAUGUUUCUUGUUUGAAAUAAUCUACCAUAAUUUGUAGUAUGAUGCUUCAAGCACUCUUUUGUCAGUUUCCCGUCAUUUCUAGCAACCAAUGUCGUUCAGAUUUUUAUUGAGAAGAAGAGGUCCAAGAUGGAAAAGAGAUAGAGGUUUGGUUGUACUCCCUCGGUCCUAAAUUAAGAAAAUUAAAAAUAAGAAUUUGGAGUAUAGUUUUUUGUGUUUUCUUUGAAAAAAGUUUUAUAGGAAGAUGUAAAAACAAUUUUCAUUGGCCAUUGGUUAUGGAAAAAAUCAAAGAGAGAGAAAAUUGAAUGUAAUUUGCAUUUAAUUUUAUGAGAAUAAACAAAAAAAAUCUUGGAAAAGAUAAAAGUUUGUCUUUUUUGCUUAUAUUUUGGGACAAAGAAAAUGUGUUUUUUUUGCUUAUAUUAUGGGACGGAGGGAGUAUGUGGUAAAGUAUAGAUGUUCUCCUAUUUAAUUUUAAUCAAUCUUAGCCGUUCAUUAAAUUUAAUGGUAUUUUGUUUGUGGUCCACCGGUGAGGGACUUAAUUGAUCCCUCACCCUAAAAUCCACCGUUUUAUGCGGUUUAGAUUAUAGAAUUCAAAGGUAAAUUUUUUUUUCUUCCAUAAAACCCUCCAAAACAGUGUAAACAUUUCAAAUUUUUGAAUUCCAACAUUGUGGGCGAGUAAUUCAGGUGGGAAAAAUAAGAAAAAUACUGUCCACCUUAACUCAAUGCUAGGAAACACUAGUAAUAUCAAUAUAACCUCAUCGGUAGUUAGCUGCCAAUAGAUUUUAACCGACAACGUCUUUUUCUGGUGUGUUUCAGCCUUAUUUGAAGUGAGAACUAACAAUUUUCGAAAAAUAAUUGUCUAUUUUGAAUUUGAAGUAGUUGGGCUUGGGCCGAGAAAGAAUACAAGAAACGGGUUUGGACAUAUCCUAUGCAACCCUAGCAGCUCUCUAUAAAUACAACCUUUGACAACUGUAGUGUUUCGUUGUUGUCUUUCAUUUGUUUUAGUUUUGUUGAUAGCUUUUGAACCCAUUGAAUGUUUUCGGCCGUGGAAUUCUCGGUUGAGAGAAUUUGUUUGAGAUAGAUCUACGUCUCUUCUUUGUUCUUCUCUACUGUGUUUUCUUCGCCGAAAAAAUUCACUGGUUUAUAAUUUUUUUUUGCAGUGGCUAUGAUGAUUACUGUGUAUCCCGGCUCAUUAUGAGACUUUUUUGUAAGGUCCGGGAAUUGAAUUUUUCCACACAUAAAUCUGAGCUUUUCUUCACUUUUGAUUUGUUUUAAACUUUGACACAAAUAUUAAAAAUAUAGAACCAAUUCUGGAUUUCGAAUGAAACUGAUUUUGUUGAUAGGGAUUGAGAUUUUUUUUUCUUCCAGAUCUGGAUUAUGAUAAAAAUCUGGUUUUUUUAAUCAAAAGUUUGUAUUUUUUUUAGGGAUCAAAUAAGGUUUAAUCUUGCACAGAAAUGUCGGUAUAAUAAUGGACUAACGAACUCUAGAAAAAGAAUGUGUAAAAUAGAUUGAACUUGUAUUAGAUAUUUAAAUGAUGAGUAUGUUUUCUAAAAUAUUUAGAGAUUUCUUUUUGAUGAAUAUUUUUUUUUUGACAAGGUUUUUUGAUGAAUUGUUUAGUUUCUUAUGGAAUAUGCCAAUUUAUAGUUUGUACAAAUAACAAAUCGGUGAAGUAAAUGGAUUACGAUGAAAAUUUAGUUGUUAGAAUUUGUAGCUUUUACUCUAUUUUGAAAGAUUAUGAUGUUAUGCAGCAUCAAAGAUAUAAUAAUCUAAAACGAACUGAAAGCUAUAAUAAUCUAAAAUUAUGUUAACAUUUUUCAAUCAAUCAUCCAUAGCUAUCAAUUAUUGCCAUAUUUCUUUUCGACAAUCACACCCAUUCAUCUCUUUAAUAUAUAGAUUUUAUCACACUCAUUCAUCUAAAACGAACUAGAUUUUUUUUUUUUUUUUUUUUUUAUCAAAUAUAUAGAUUUUAUAUUAUGUUAUCUUAAAGUUAUAAGUGUGGCUAUAAUUUAAAUUUGAUAUGGAAAAAAAAAAUAUCUUAAUUUUGUUAAUUUUGUAUAUAUUUUGAAAUAUCUAAACAUUCCACGUAACGAUUGGAUUUAUACUUAUACUAAUUAUUUGUAGUAUAAGAUGUAUUCAUUUUUAAACUUAGCAUAUGUAAUACUUUUUAAUAAAGUGUGGGCUACAGAAACGCCGAUCGUUAUUUGUUUUUAUUUUUAAAAAAGUCUAAUAUAAAUAUUGUAUUUUAGGGUAACAACGAUGUAAAAAAACAAGUUAUGAGUAUCGUUAUACCUAUAAUUCGCCUUACAAAGAAAUUAAAAAAAAAAGACUUCUAAACAACACACAACUUUAGUUUUUUAAAUUAUAGCAACAAUUUUAAAACAUAACUAAUGAUCGAUGUUUCUCAUCAGCAUAACUGGACAUCCCACUCUUAGCUCCUUCUGUUGAAUUUUCUUGGGAUUGUGAGCUUCAAAGGCAACCGAGGAUCCAACACCAUCAGGGUUAUCUUUUGGUUUCCAUUCAUUUCGCUGUUUUUGGGAGAUCACUGGUUUCUCUCCAUUAUCAACUCUUUCUGCUUGCUUGUCCUCUUUCCUCGGAUGUAACCAACAACAAGAACUAACAUUGUGGCCAAUACUCUUGCAGUGUGUGCAAAAAUCAAGAAGGCGUUCAUUUCAAUAGCAAUUGGAAACGCAAACCCCUCUUUUUCCACCAUAACUUCAUAAAAAAUAUCUUUUGAAAGGUCCAAUCAACUAGUAUUCUAGCAUAGUGACCAAACAAACGCUUCUUGGUAACCUGAUCAAUGAGCAAUGGAGUACCAACCGCCUAUGCUAUCUCCAAUAAAGUCCUCUCCAUCCAAUAUUCUUGUGGCAAUUCCCAUAAACGGAUCCAAACCUGAGCAUGUGUCUGACGCUGCGUGUGCAUAUUAAAGUCCUUCGACCAUUCAAAUAAACGAAGAACCCCUAGCUUCAAACUGACAGUUCCCGCAGCCCAAAAUUUACACACAUCUUCGUAUGAUGCAAAGGUAAAUUCAUAAAAUCCCCUACCUAAUGAGCGUAGACUCCAAGGACCAGGACGCUUCCAUAUUGUCUGUAGCUUUUCAAAGACAGCCUUGGAAGAGUAUGAAGUAUCCCCUUUGUUGAGCAUCAGUCUGCCCCGAAGGUUGGUCCGACAAGCUUCUAAACCACAGACAUAAGCUUCUUUCGAAAUUUUGACUGACAACAUGUCCCCGCGAAUAACAGGCAAUGGAAGGGGUUCUGAGUAGAUAAUUGUAGAACCGCGUAAUGCCUGAGCAAAAGAAGGUUUUGGAGCGGUAGCUUGUGUUGGUGUUGUAAGCGCAACCAUGUCGAGAGCCAAUGUGAAAAUAGGUCUGACCGUCGACGAGACAAGAACCGGAGCAGGCGUCCCCAAUUCUGCUUGCCAAUCGAACAUGGCGAUCGGCAGAACUGAGACAAAAGAAAGCAGAACGUAACAUAAUUUGUGAUAAACGUGUAACCUUAGUUGAUUGAAAUAGCCACUUACGUGAGACACCAAUUGGAACAACACCACCGUUUUGGAAAACCACCAAAUAAAUUUGGCGAUAAUGAAAAACAAACGUGAUGAAAUUGGUUUUUGAAAUUAAGAGAGCAAAUUCUUAAAUCAUGAGAUGAUGGGAUACGUGAGUGGAGGAAUCAAUUGGAAAGCAAUUUGUUAAUAUUUGAGAACUAGUAAUUGAAGGAAAAAUAAGAAAAGCAAACCGAUUGGUUAAUUCUAAUUAUCAAUGUAAAUAAUUAGAACAUAUUUUUAUACAAAGUUAAUUCUUUUGGUUUCUUAAUCAAGGCUUUUAGAACAUUCAUUAGUAUCAUAUAUUCAUGAAUAGAAGGUAAGCGCGCAAUAAGAUGCACCACUUACCGAAUUUAAUUACUUUCACUCUCUCUAAUUUUUUUAUUUAUAAAAUAUCCUUUAAUCAAUAUAUUUUUGUUUUAUGAUAACUUUUAUUUAUGUCACUCUUUUUUACCAUGUUAUUCUUGAUGCUAACUUAGUUGGUUCUAGCACUUCUUUGGUUGGAAUUUGGAAAUUAUACCAAAGCGUAUUUUUAUUUCAAUAUGCAAGAAGAAUAUUUGAUUUUAAUAAGCUUUCUUUGUCUAGUCUCAUGCUCCAUGAACUAAGGUAAUGUUGUGACAACCCCCCAUCCUUAGCUAGAUCAAAUGUAGUACUGAUGGUUCUCCUAAGGGUUGUGCAAGCCCUGCAAUUUGUGGUGGGAUUUUUAGGGAUAAAGAUGUUAACUAUUUAGAUAGUUUUGUGAUCAAUUUGCAUAUCACUACUGCCUCUCAAGUUGUGCCCCGUGGGAAGAUGAAUGCUACUGAGAUAACUUAUUAGAUGAAUGCUCUGGAUAGAGACUGACUCUCAAACUUGUUAUUAUGGCUUCCCAAAAUUCAAGUAUUGUUCCUAAUGUAUGAAGUUAACAAAAAAGCAUACAUUUUAUUUACAUUUCUCAUAUCUUCCGUGAGAGCAACAAGUGUGUUGACAAGAUUGCUUCUAUUGGUCUUUGGUAAAACAAUCUUACUUGGAUAGAUUCUAUUCUCUUGUCUAUUUUAGAUUUCUUUUUAUUUUAAUAAUAUUUCUUGAAUGUUUCAGUUAAUAGAUGACAAUCAAGAAAUAACGAUAUAGUUCAAAUAUCUUGACUUAUUGCUUUUGCUCACUCUUUAAUGUUACAUUUUUACAUCCACAUAAAACUUAUUUUCUUUUUUAUAAAAAUAAAAGUAAAAAUAGAUGCUAAAAAAGGCAAGUAACAAAAGGUUCAUAAAAUGAGUGUACUUAGUUGCCACUUGGCAAUGAAGAUGAUUACGUUCCAAUCCAACAUAGCUUUGAUGGCCAGCAUCCAAGUAGAGUUGUAAGCCACGUAUCAUCAAACAAUCUAUCACAUUCUCUUCUUAUAUCAACCAACCAUACUCAUCUCACCUUAUCCUUUUCUCCCUUUUAAUCCAAAUAUACAAAACUCCCUUCCCAUAACAUAAACUCUACACACAUUUCAACAAACCAAGGUUCAUUCAUAUUUCAUAUCAUAUUGUUUUUCAUUUCCUUAUAGCAUAUAUCAAUUCAUUUUUCUAAACUUUUUUCAUAUUUCACAGAUAAUAAUAACAAUGGCUACAGCCUCAGCAACAACUCCAUCUACAAUCACUGUUGUAGGAAGCUCAGUUAUUGGAACCAAAUCAAGGAGUACUAAGAAGGGUAACAAUGUCAAGUUUAUCACAGGACUGAAUUCAUACAAUGGAUUGAAAGCACAGAACAGCACUGUGACAUCACUAGGAGUUCCUAUGUGCACUGAACAAGCUUUUGCAAAAGUGAUGAGUUCAUUGAAAUAUCCAUCAAAUGGAGGAAGAAGAGGAGGUGCAGGUUCUUCAACAUGUAAUGCUGCAGGUGAGAUUUUUCAGAUUGCAGCUAUUAUGAAUGGACUUACUCUUGUUGGUGUUGCUGUUGGAUUUGUUCUUCUUCGAAUUGAAGCUGCUGUUGAAGAAGCUGAGUAAGAAUUUUUCAUAUAUAUUUGUAAUAAUGUAAUGUAAGUUUAUAUCAGGAAGAAAAAUACAAUUUGUAUGUUAUGUUUGAUUCUUGAUGUGAUGAUGUAGAACUCAAUUGUUCUUGGAGGUAUUUGAAAUAGUAGUACCACUUGAAUUUUUAUUUUGAGACAGAAUUGUACACAUUAAUGCUGUCUGGUUUUUUACUUCAAAAUUGGUUGGGAAUUUGAAUAUCUAUGUCUAAUAAUAUACUAACUGGUUUGAAAAAAAAAAUGUAUUUAAUAUGUUUUUGGAAAGUUUGAAGAAUAGUAUAUUCACAUGUAGCCUCAAUAAGAAAUUUGUUUGAAUUGAUAUUGUAAUUAGAGAGUUUCUUUUCCCACCUGGUUCGGAUUAUAUUAUCCGAAAUGUUCUAGGGCGCAUGACAAGAAAAAAAAAAUCUCUUGUUGUAAUUAUUAUGAAGCUGCUGAGUUUUAUAUUUGUAUCUAUGUUGAAAAUUACAAAUAGUACUGAAAAUUGAAAGGUGAUUUGUAUUAAGUGUAUCAUUCAAUGAUUGUUUAGGGAACAAUAGUUAAAUGAAAAGAUGUACUAGUUCAUGAAAAAACACCUUCAAUCAUGUAAGAACACAUCAUAUUAAUUUGAAUCUCAAAUUCAUGAAGACACCUUUUGAAGUGUUUUCUUUGAUUUCAUUUAUUUUGUAAAUUUCUCAAAAUGGAACAUACAUAUGACCAGUAGUGAUUGAUAACACUUGAUUUUGAGUUCAGUAUUUCCUCUAAUUGAAAUAGACCAGUUUUAAGGGUAUUUCUAAAUUAAACAAGAUCUGGAGCUAGCAUGCUUCUUACAUUAGGGUGUACAUGUGCAUGAGGCUCAGGGAUUCUGGUGAGGGUAGGUGCACAGAGCCUUAGUUUCCAAGCAGAGAGCCCGUUUACAAGAUUUGAACAUGCGACCUACGAAGCACAUACAUGGACACGGACCCGGAUACAUAUUCGACAUCGGAAAACUCCUAAUCCGAGGAGUAUUUGUGCUUCAUAGUCUAGCACGCUUCUUACAUUAUUGUAAAAAGUUAUAGACAGGGCGUAUAGCCAAAACUGUGGUUGAAUGUGAAUUGGUCUGCUGAUAACCUUCAUUGAUCAUAGUGGAGUCUGCAAUUUUAUUGUGAUAUGUAAAGUCUCUCAUAUACAGUAAACUAAUAUGUGAAUGGUACAAUUUAUAGAUGUUUUGAUGCAGACAAAUCUUGAAAUAUUGAAGUUACACAAAAUAUCCAACUAAAUUACAUAUUCAUCAACAUACCUUUACUCGAAAAAUGGUGUCACAGGUAAUUAUAUACGCUUUUAGCCUACAUUACCACGCGGGGAUUCUUUUAGGACAAAUGCAGGAAUCCAUAGUACUAACCUCAUGUUUAUUGAUCUGAGGUGGAUCUUGAGAGGUGGCCGGAAGUGAGGAGAGUAGAAACUUGAAGUCUCUGAUUGGGGCGGCAUACGUGUAUUCGUACACACUCCAACACUCUGAGUCAACAAGAAUUUGAGGUGAGUGAGAGAUAUGAUGAAUAGUGGGCACCUUGCUUCCGGUGGAAGGAAAGUCCUAAUACAAUUGAACUGCCCAGGUAAAAUGGUGGGAAAGUCUGUUGAGAAAGUUAUAAGUCGGAAUGUAUAUCGCCGUGAUAUGCGAAUCAAUGUUUAGUUGAGAUCAUGCAGUCGUUGAUCUUCAGUGACGUUUUGCUCAUGGAGUUGGGUCUGUAGUGCAGAAAUCUAGUUCGGAUGGGUCAUGGGCUAGUCCGAAACAUUUAUAAUCCAACAUCAAUGAAAGGAAACUAAAAUAGAAAAAAUAGGGUUGCAGUGAAACUGUUUUGGUAAGGGACACUAAUAUCAGUGAAACAUUUGUAAUCGUAGCUGCUUCCAAAUUCCAAUGAAGCUAACAUUACAGCAAAUCAGUGUACAAUUUCAUUAUGAUGCCUUCUAAGAGACACUAAUAUCCUUCAAAGAAAUUCUAGAAUUUGCAUGAAAAUUACAAGGAUGGAAAAGGAUAUUGAAGAAAUUAGCUCAAUCAUUCUAAAGGAUGAUUGUUAUCAAAUUCAUUUAUAUUCCAAUCAUACAUUGAUUGUUUCCAUUCAUACAGUUUAAAUAAAAUUCCUUAAGGCUCAAAGAGAGCUUAGAGAGGUACUUACAGAAGUCCUGACAUCGGUAACAAGAGUUGAAUCCACAAUCUUGUAGAUGAAUCAACUCCUUAUCAACUAAGUCAACCUUCAUUGACUUUUUCUUUUACAACAAUCAACAACACAUAUCGUUAAACACAUAUAUAAUCAAAUUUAAUGUCUGACAAAGCUCGCACCUCGGAGACCUGGAUGGAACCUAUGUGAAUCAAAAGCAACGAAAUCAUACAAAAAAUGAGCAAUUCAAUUUUUGGGCUCCAAAAGCUAUUGGCUACAUAGUGACAAAUAAGAGAAGGGUGGCAACAUAGUGACAAAUUAGUUAAUGGCUGCAUAGUGUAUUAUAUGGACCAGUAUUAUAAUUAAGACCAUUGCGUUGUCCUGUAUCAUGACCAUGUAACUUAACACUGAGAUGUGGUUCUCUCAAAAUGUAACCAAUAGAAAAAUCAAUAAAUAAAUAAGCAGCCAAUAAAUUAUUGGAACGAAUAUCCUAUUGGUGUAUUCCUUCCAUGAAUCCAAGAGGAUCCAAAACAUCCACAUCCCAAAUGAAUAUUCUCAUUAUUCCUAGUCUCUAUAUAAACCACAAUAUAGCUCUAUUACAACCAUCAUUCAAAACAAAGAGAAAGCUCAACAAAAAGAAGAAAAAAAGUGGAACUAAUAUUUUUUUUUGCUCAAUUUUUAAGAGUGACUAAAAUACUUGAUUUUGAGAAAAAUGUCAGCCAUGGUAGAAGUAUGGAUUGGGGAAUUAGCCAAGCUCAAAGAAAAAGUUAUGACCAAAAAGAUAAAAGAUGGUUUAGAAGAAGAGAAAGAAGUCGGAAUGCAAUCUCAAAAGGAGAUCAUAGCUGUUCAUAGAGACACUGCAACUAUUUCAGAGUCAACAAUAUGUUUGCUUAUGGAUAGAUUUGUGCCCUGCUAAUAUAUGCUUAAUUAUUAGGUGCUCAAAUAUCUUGUUAAUUCAAUGAUUUGGUUCCUAGACAAGAAAAUUUGUAAUAAAAUGUUCUAUAUUAUUGUUAAUAAAAUGUUUUUUACUUUAGUGUUAAUAUUAUUGUAGUUGUUGUUAGUCAUUUAUAAUGUAAUUUGUUGUUUAAUUGCUAGAAAAAUAAAAAAAUUGGAUGGUUUGAUUACAAUUAUUAAAGCAAUAAACUAUUUAGUUGAAAUAAUUUGCGUAUAUUUUUUUCAAAUUUUUUGGGUUAUUAUUAUUUGCAAGUUCGCUUUAUGAACUUCUUUGACAUGGUUUUGCAGGAAAUUAAAUACCCUUUCUAGUUUCUUCCUUGAACCCAAAAAAGAAGAUAUUGUAAUUUGUGAAGUAAUUUCACUCUCAUUGUUAAGUAGUGUAAGACAAAGCUUUUAUUUAAACUAAGAAAAUGAGCCCCAAAAUUUAUGUGUUCCACAAUAGAAUAAUUUUUUAUUUUAUUUAUAUAAGUACAACUCAAUUGAUAGUUAAAUAGAAACUUAAUAUGUUAAAUUGUGGAUUUAAAUGUGUGAUUCUCCACGGUUAAAUAAGAAUUGUCUCCUGAUGUUUAUCCUCUUUCUUUGCUUAUAUAAAAAAAAAUGUUUUGAAUUUGUGUUGGAAAAAAAUCCUGCAUUAGAUAAAGGAUAAGCAAAAAACUUUAGUUUUGUUUGAAAACAAAAAAACAUCGGUGUCCUGGUAAGCUUAGUUCAGUUGCGUAAACUAUUCAAAUCGAACCCAGGCCAACCAAAAAAAAAAAAAAACAUCGCCAACUUUUGCUGUUGUUGCUGGUUGAUUCCUGUUAAUAUAGCUUCUACCUCUUCUUUUCUUCGAAAGAAUAGCUUCUACCUUUAAUUAAUUGUUUAACGCAGAUUCCCUUCUAACAGUUCUUUUUUUUUUUUUUGAAGUUCUACCAAUGGCUUAAGAAAAUUAACAUUGUUUGUGAACAAUUGCGACCAAAAAAUAAUCCAAGAUCGACAAUUUAAAAAAAAAAUUACAUAAUCAAAUUAACAAUGUUUUAGAAAGAUGAAAGUGAGUGUAAAUUAGUGAGGUGUGUGUAAACAAUUUGAUAAAAUUUAUAAAAAUGAGUGCAAAUAAUCAAAUGGGUGUAAGUUGGUAACUUGCACCUUAAUGAUUUUAGGUGGGUGUAACUUGCUAAUUUACACCUUAGUGUUUUUAGGUGGGUGUAAAUUAGCAGCCCUCUAUAAAUAAAGACCUUGUGUGUUAGUAUUUCUUGUACCAAUAGUUAGUAGGAUUUGCUAGAGCUGGUAUUACCUCUACUAUUCAAUAUCUUGUUAUAGCCGGUAUUACCUCUACUAUUCAAUAUUUAUUUUUUUUGAGCAAAGGAAAGUUAAUGCAUUUCAUUCAUAAUCAAAGAAUACAAAGUAAGCGGUACAUUAUAGAAAAUAUGGGGGCUAGAUUGGGAAUAGGAUGCUCUAGCUAUGUUGUGAGCGACCCUAUUUGCUUGCCUCCGAACAUACGACAAUACAAAGUCGGAAUUACUAAACAAUAAAUCUCUACACUGUGAUACAAUGUUGCCAAACUCGUUAAGGUAAACAAAAGAAGAGUUGAUGGCAUCAACGAGAAUCUUAUUGUCCGUUUCAAACAUGACAUCAUGGUAGCCAGCUGAAAUUGACGUGUGUAAUGCGUCAAGCAUAGCAACAGCUUCAGCUUCUAGGACAGAACCAAAUGAUUGCAGAAGAGCUGAUUUCCCCAUUAACAAUUGGCCCCUAAAGUUUCGAAAGCACAUUCCAAAACCUGUUACAGUGUUAUGGCUGAAAGUUGCGGCAUCGAUGUUACACUUUAGGACACCUUCUGGAGGCUUCUUCCAAGAGAUUAUGUGGUCCUGAUUUUGAGGUUGAGGUCUAGCUCGUUGCAUACAUCUCCAUUCGUGAAGUGUAUCCUUCGCUCUAGAAACAGUUGAAGCAGUAGUAGUGUCUAAAGAAUCCCACAACUUUAUGUUACGACUCUUCCACAAACUCCAAAGUAACAUUGCGGCUGCAUGUUGUUGAUAUGAGGGUAACCUGUCAAGAAAAUCAAACAACAUAGUAGUAAAAUCAUUAGCCCGGUGCAGCAGCUCGCGAAUAUGGUUUCCCAAAUUAAUACGAUCCCAACAGUCCAUAGCUUUAGUGCACACAAAGAAUAGAUGCAUGUGUGAUUCUGCCAAUGAUUCACACAUCACACACGUAUCAUCGCAUGAUAUACCCCUGGUGGUGAGAUUAACACGGGUAGGAAGGCAUUGAUGAGCAAGACGCCAAAGGAAGGAACAAACACGUGGUGGAAUUUUCAUGUUCCAGAGAGUCAUGGGGGAUUAGAUGGCGCAUGAGUGGAUGAAUGUAGAAGAUCAGCGCAAAUGCGAUAAGCGGACUUUACGGUGUAUUUUCCAUCUGUUGAUACCUUCCAUAAUCUAGUGUCCUCCAUCGGUCUAGUGUAAAGGGGAAUGGAUGUCACAGCUGCAGCCACUUGGGGGUCAAAAAUUGAAUGCACCAGAUUAUAAUUCCAUGACAGCAGAUCCAGAUUCAUGAGCUGAUUGACUGUGAGCUCUUCAAGGUUAGGAGGCGGCGGUGUUGAAGGUUUGUGCGAGGGGAGAUUGCGAAUCCAAGGCAUUGACCACACAUUUAUUUUUGAGCCAUUACCAAUCUUCCAUCUAUAGCCCAACGUAAGUAAUGAUUGGGUACUCCAAAGACUCCUCCAUGUAUAGCUUGGAUUAUGACCAAGAGGUGCUUCCAAGAAAUCCCGUCGAGGGAAAUAUUUGGCUUUGAGGACACGAGUAAGUAAGGAAUUUGAGUCUGUCAUGAGUUUCCAACUUUGCUUACCGAGCAUAGAAAGAUUGAAUGCUUCCAAAUUGCGAAAACCAAGGCCACCAAGACUUUUGUGCAAAGUGAGUUUCUCCCAUCUCAUCCAAUUUAUACCCCGACGGCCAUUCUUUUUCGAACCCCAGUAAAAAGAGUUCAUCAUCCUUUCUAAUUCCUCACACAAAGAACCAGGAAUAAGAAAGGCCCCCAUACAAUAAGAUGGAAUAGCCUGAGCGACUGAUUUAAUUAAAAUUUCCUUACCAGCUCGAGAUAGAGAACGAGCAUUCCAGGAUUGACACUUCUUCCAUAUGCGGUCCUUCAAGUAAGAGAAAAUUGCCUUUUUGUUCCUUCCCACCAUAGAGGGGAGUCCUAAGUACUUGCCGCUUCCAAUAGAACCAUAGACUCCAAGAAUAUUAGUAAUGGUGGAGAUUAGAUCAUGUUGAGUGUUGGUACUAAAAGCAAUAGCAGAUUUGUUGUAGUUUAUUGCUUGGCCUGAAGCGUGUUCAUAAUGAAGGAGGAUUUCCUUGAGUGCUUGAGUCUCUGAUGUGGUGGCCUGGCAGAAUAAGAAGCUGUCAUCAGCGAAGAGAAGGUGACUGAUAGGUGGUGCUGAUCGACAAAUGCGUGUGCCAUGUAAUUUCCCUCUAAGCUCGUGAUUCUUUAUAGUGGCAGAGAGGCCUUCAGCACAUAAGAUGUAAAGAUAAGGCGAGAGGGGGCAGCCUUGUCUAAGGCCUCUUCCUGGUGUGAUGGGUCCAAUACGAUCCCCAUUAAAUAUAACAUGAUAUUCAACAGAUGUGAUACACAUCAUCAUCCAAGUUACCCAUUGAGAACAAAAACCCAACUUUUCAAGAAUAACUUGAAGAUAAGACCAGCUGACACUGUCAAAUGCUUUGGAUAUAUCAAGUUUCAAAGCAACCUCACCUUUUUUUCCUUUUGAUUUACAACGCAUAUGGUGCAAGAUCUCGAAAGCAGUCAAUGCGUUAUCCGUGAUGGAACGAGAGUGAAUAAAAGCCGCCUGUUCUAAAGAUAUCUAUUUACUAAUCAACGGACGAAGACGGUUGGCAAGGACCUUCGAGAUAAUUUUGUAUAAGAUAUUACACAGUGAUAUAGGACGAAGAUCCUUUAUAGUUUCAGGGCAGUCUCCUUUCAGAAUUAAAACAAUAUUUGUUUCAUUAAGACCGGGAGGUAUGUGACCAGAACUGAGCCAAUUUGAUGCUGCCAGAAAUAGUUCGCCACCAAUAUCUUCCCAGAAUCGAUGGUAAAAUGCUGGAUUUAGACCAUCCGGACCCGGAGAUUUAUCCGGGUGCAUACUAAAAAUCACCUCUUUAAAUUCUUGCUCCGAAAAAGGUUGGAUGAGAAGUGCAUUAUCAUCAUCUGAUACUUUAUCUUGGACGCAUGAUGUGAUAGGGAGAGGAUCACUGUGACGCGCCAUGAAUAUAUCUGUGAAGUAAUCAUGGAUGAGAGAACAAAGAUCAUCGUGGGAGGUGAUCCAGUUACCUGAACUGUCACGUAAUUUUUUAAUAUUGUUACUUCUUUUCCUGGCUGAAGCUGAUGCGUGGAAGAAUUUGCUAUUUGUGUCGCCAUCGGACAGCCAAAAAACCUUUGACCGCUGCUUCCAGUAACUUUCUUCUUGGAGUAAAAGAGUAGCCAUGUUAUUUUGCAUAGAGAUCAAGUGAGGGUCACUUGCAUCAGCAUGAGAAUUGCGAAAAUCUUCAAUGGCUGACCUUUGCUUGUUGAUGAGAUGUCGAAAAUUAGGAACCAAAUUUUUACUCCAAGAUGCAAUAUCUUCCGAAAAAUGCCUGAGCUUAGCUAUAAUGUUCGAUGGAGGAUAGUGCUCCCAAUUAUCCUUUACAAUUUGAUCAAGUUCAGGCUCAAGUAACCAAGCGUUGUUAAAGCGGAAACAACGGUAAGGUUUGCGCCAUGGUAAUGGAUCAAGUUGAAGCAAAAGAGGCGUGUGGUCUGAAAUUGGAGCAACCAAUGUUUGCAGCGUUGCAUUCGGAUAAAGUGUCUGCCAGGAGGACGUGACAAGGGCUCUAUCAAGACGGGCUUCUUUCGAGGAUUCGGUUCCAAUACUUUUGAACCAAGUGAAUUGGUAACCAAUCAAAGGUAUAUCAAGUAAAUUACAGUCAUUCACAACAUCUUGGAAGCCACGUAUAAGCCAUGGAGGACGUUCAGGGCCUCCUCUUUUAUCUGAGGUCGAGAGGUGAUCAUUGAAGUCCCCAAUUAUGCACCAGGGAUCGUCUGAGAGGGUGCUUAAGGAGCGAAGCAAAUCCCAGGAUUCUCUGCGUCUGCCUGAGUCAGAAUAACCGUAGAAAGCUGUUAGCCUCCAAUUACCGACUGAUUGAUCUUUGAUUUUUAGAUUAAUGAAGUUUUGGGAGAAAUUAAUUAAAGAACAAUCAACAGAAAUGCGCCAGAGCACAGCAAUACCGCCGCUUCUGCCAGUUCUAUCAACUGUAAAGUGGUUUUCGAAGCCAAUAGAAUAGCACAAAUCAGAAAUUUUAUUAUCGUUGACCAAGGUUUCAAUAAGGAUAACAAUGUCCGGUUUAUAGACUCGGACUAAGUCUUUCAUAACAGGAACUGCCUUAACAUUUCCCAGGCCUCGACAGUUCCAAGAUAAAACAUUCAUUGUGCCCGGCAGGCCUGGGAGCCAGGCUCUGCCACUAAAAAAUGAGUCACUGAUUGUGAGACCUCCAUGGGUGAUGCACUGUUGUCUGGGACCUUGUUGAGACUGUGUGAGUUUUCUUCUGCAACUUCAUUAAUUGCAUUUGCUGAUGAGGAAGCAUUCUGAGAAAUUGCGACAGUAAUGUCAUGAUUUAUGACAGCGUUAUCAGUUGAUUCCCUUGACCGUUUUGCUUUAUUAUUGAUAAUAACGGACUCAUGAUUUUCCUCCUGCAGAAUCUCAUCAUUCUGGUUCGGUUUUGGUGCAUUAACACUGAGACGCGGCUGCAUUAAAUGAGGAUUGCGUAACAACUGCAGCAAUGAUUCAGGAUUGGCAGUUUUGGAUACAGUAUUGAUAGCAUUAACUCCUGUGUCUGUAACUGAAACUGUUGAUGAGGCACUGGUUGCUCCGCCCAUGACAGAGUUCCGGCGAGCACCACCACUAGUGUUCUUUUGACGAUCCGCUCGCAAUUCAGAGCUCCAUAAGCGUAUGCCGUCAUCAGCUUCAACGGAAUAAAGUUUUUCGCAAUAAUCUUCGAUAUGGCCUAAACAACCACAGUAGUAGCAGAAAUUACCAAGACGCUCGUAUUUGAAUUUGAUGAAACUGGAAUCACCUCCCUGCCGUUUGAUUUUUUUCUGGCGCUUCAGAGGCUUUGUGAUGUCGAUCAGAACUCUAAUUCUCAUAUAUGAUCUGAGAAAGUUAGAGUUGUUCUUGGCAUCGUAUUCUAGAAAUUCACCUAUGUAGUUAGCGAUUUCCUUUCCGGCAUUUUCUGUCAUUAGCCCUGUUGGGAUGUCGUGGACUUGUAUCCAAAAUGGAACAAAGUGGAGGGGGACUUGAUUUGGGCUGCCAUUCUCUGGGAUGAUGUUGAGGACUAGAAGGUGGUUGUCAAAAUACCAAGGGCCUUUUUUCAGUAUUCGUUGAAAGUCUAGGUGAUGAUUGAAUUGGAAGGUGUAUAGGCAUGGCUCAAUUUCCAGGAUUUUCAUGCCUUUAACAGGACUCCAGAAUGUUUCAAUCUUUUCCAUCAUCAUGUAGGAGCGGAUUGGCCUGUUCGUGUGGAAACGGCCAACAAGACAGAGGCGGGGAUCGUUGGUUUGUGUUGGGAUUUCUUCAAAUUGAAUGUCAAGUUCAUCCUCCUCAUCACUAAGGGAGAGGUGUUGUAAUGUGGUCAUUGUGAUUGGUGGUUGGUGAGUGGCAGGAGCAGAAAGGUUGCAAGGUGUGCUCCCCGAUUUUCGGAUAUCAAACCAUUGAUUGAUUUGAAUCGUCAAUCUUUGAACUCUCAAUUUUUAUUCGUGGGAAGGGAAAAAAUGAGUAAAAACCCUUAUCGAGACUUUGGAUUCGGGGGUUGGUUUCGAAUAGGGAAGGUGUUAAGCACCCUAAACGACUUCGGUACUCCGAAGGAACCGCUUACCUAGAUUAUCUUGUGCUAAAUUCAUUUGCUUACUUGAAAAAUUAUUACCUAAAAAUCUAUGUAAAAGAAUGGAGGGAGAAUAAGUAUGUUUUGGUUAUUUUUAUUUGAUUUGGAAGGACAAGUCCUCUACCUACGUACCCUUUUUUUGGGAAAGGGAUCAAAACCGACGUAGUUCCACUCAAGAAUUUCUUUGGUGGGUUAGAUUGAUUUUAAGAUUUUUUUUGAAAAUGGGUUUUAAGAAGAGAAAGAGGCCUCAAGGUAUGAGAUAAAGAAAACAAGUGAGGUUGAUUGAUUUUAAAAUUUAAAAAAAUGGUUGAAGUUGAAUUAAGAUUGAUUGAAAAUUUGAUUAAGAAAAUAAAGAGAAAAUGUUGCUAAGAAAAGUGAUUUUUUUGAAUUUGACAUAUUUAGUUUUUUUUUUGAUAAAAAGGUUUUUUUUUCUAAACUAACGGUGAGAACUAACGUAACGUCGUAAAAACUAACGGAAAGCGGUAAAUAAAAUGUGGUAGUGUCGGUGCAUGUGUCGGUGCUUGUGUUACCUACAUUAUUACAUCAAUUCCUAAAUACAACCCUAAGGCCUUUAUGCCAAAAUAAAGUGCAAGAAAUAAAAUUACAUCAAUUCCCUAUUUAUACACACUAAGUCAAUGACAAAAUAAAAUGAUGAGAAAAUUAAAUGUGCAUGCUUCCCUCUGUUCGAUGCGUCUCAGCUUCGUUUGCUUGUGGAUUCGAGUUCGAUUUCUUCUUACGGUUCGAUCUCGAUCCGGUCCGAUCUGUUGUUGUUUUUCACGAAUUUGACUCGGUUUCAGCUUCUUCUUGCUCCUUCUAUUUCGUUCGGUUUGGAUUUGAUUUGUGUUGUUCUUUUAUGAAUUUCUGGUGAAUUUGUGAUUGUUGAAAUCAAAACCGAAAAUGACGGGUGAUUUGUGAGAUGGAAUGGGUGAUGUGUUUAUGAAUUAUUUUGGUGUUGAAUGUUGUUGAGACUUUUUUUGGAUCUGGAAACUUUGAAUGUUCUUGAUGAUUUCUUGCUUUGAUCCGAAAAUGUGAGAAAGAAGAGGAAAUUAGGGUUUGUAUUGAUUGAGGGACUGAUUUGACUCUGACGCAGCUACAGUGAUUUUUCUGACCCUCUUCCCAAUGAUUAGACAGUGUAUUUAUAGUGACAAAAUAGGGUUGGCUCUGGUACAUAUCAAAGACCAAAAUACCCCUGUUGGAGACUUGGGGACAAAGACUUAACAAAUAACAAAUAAAAAUGAUAAGAAAAAAGAAAAGAAAGAAGAAAAAGAAGAAAAAAAAGAGGAAAUAAGAAAGAAAGUCACGUGAUUGACUUUCCUUUCUUUGUUUUUUUUUCAAAAAAAAUAAAAAAUAAAAAAAAUAAAAUAACAAAAAACAAAAAAAUAAAAAAUGACAAAUAAAAUAAAAAUAAAAUAUUAAUUAAUAAUAAUAAAAAAAAAAGUCCCUUCGAAAUCUGACAUGAGGUACUUCAAAGUAUCCUCCCUGCCGAAAUUUUGUCUGAAAUGAUUAAAAGGACGCGAUUUUUAAAAUAUGAUUAAACCUUUUAAAAUGACUUGAUUAUUAUGACUAACAAGACUAUAAAAUGCGCUCAAAACGUUAUAAAAAUGCAGAUAAAAGUUUUUAAAUGAUUAAAGAAGAAAAACACGAGUUUUAAAUGGUAAAAAAAACGAAUAGAAGAGAAUGUGGACUAUUUCAAAAUAUGGACAAAAAGAUUUUAAGUGGUCCAAAUUUGGGGUAUGACACAAGGGAACUUCUCACUAAGGAGAGAAUACUAAAGACUUCUCACAGAGGAGAGAAUAUUUUUUUUUUAGCAAACAGUUAGUUUACUAUUCAAUAUUUAUAAUCAUUAAUUAUAGUGGAAUUCUUUUCAAUGGCUCUGCCCGUGAAUUAGUCAGCACAUUGAUGGAUACCACGUUUAAUCUUGUGCCGUUUUCAUUAUGUCUUUUACUAUUAUAGUCAUUAUUCUCGCGUCCCGUUAUAACAAAUUGGUAUUAGAGCCCUAGUUAGGCUCGGUGGGGAGCAGAAGUGGGAUAUUGUUAGAAAUCAAGUGUAAGUGAUUAUGUCCCACAUCAACUAGAAAUGGAGAAAACGUUGGAUAUAUACGAGAGUGGGCCUAUAUACUUAAUGCCUUAAGGUUUUUGGUAAGAGUGUGGUGUCUCUCUCUUAACAGGUCCUAGACAUUUAUCACAUUGUCGCUUUCGUCGCUCUCCGAACUCCAUAACGAAAUGCACAAUCAAAGACUAUUUUGAAAUUUAAAUUCAUUGAAAAACUAUUGUCCUAUAUGAUAACCACGUAGGAAACCCCUCACUUUGCAAUCUUCCAAUUCACACCGCAAAUUGAGACUGUAAUUUUAUCAUCAAAUUUUCAAAUUAAUCCCGUCAUUUAUUAUUUUUUGAUGAAAAGUUAAUUUGUUAAUUCUUUUAUUUGAUAUACUAUCAUCACUUAAAAUAAGUAUCGACAAUGAUCUAUUAAUUUUGUCAAAAAAAAUAAAAUAGUGAUCUAUUAAUUUAUGAGACGGCUAAGGUCUUCUUUACUCUGGAUCAGAGAAUUAUUCCUCAAUCCUAACUAACCUGAGUAAUGUGGGACUACAAUUUAAUUUCAAUAUCCAACUGUUACCGUAUAUAUCAAGCAUGGUCACAUAAUUAGCUUAAUACCAAAGAAAACGCAAAUUAGUUUUGCUAGACGUGAGGUGGAUAUUAUGUUGUAUUGGAGUUGCGUAUUAUUUAGAUGUCUAUGCAAUUGGGUGUGUAAAUGUAUUUAGACACUCAUUCUUUGAGUAUGUUUUUAGGAUGAGAUCUUAGUUCAUUUAACUUUGAAUCUAAAAUCAUGCUAAACAUGCAUGCGAAUAUUACAGUUGUAUUGAAAUUUCACAUUAUUCAAUAUCAUUCUUUGUGCAUUGAUUUUUGCAAAAUCACUAAAAAUCUUUUUAUAAUAAAGUGUUUUACAUAAUCAUUUCCAUAUAAAUCAAUGCAAUACUAUUUAAUUUAUCUUAUGAAUUUGAGUGUUCAAUUAAAGAUAAAAAUACAAUUAAUAUAUUAUUAACUUUAAAUUUUAAAAAUGAACAUUAGAUAAUUCAUACACAGUUGAUGCUUACUCAUUCACCGGUAUGAAAUAUGACUUUUCAAAGUUCACAAAAACACCACUAAGACAAGUACCACACCAAUAUAUUUUGUAAAAAAACAAUUCUUCUUCUUCUUCUAAUAAAACAUGACUUUUGGAUUCAUACACAAUUGAUUAACCCUUAUUAAAGAUAACUCUUAUGAUCAUGCAUGUUAAUCACCAAAACCACCACCAACUACGUAUGUGUUUCGCAUCACUUUUUUAAGCUCAAAACGUGGGUUGCUUUUGCCAAACGUCGUUUCCCAAUUUCCUGUGUUGUUUGGAUGAAGGAAAAGCAGAUCUGUGAAACCACGUUUUAGAUCCAAAACGCCGGUUCUGCUAAAGCUGGAAUUCAAAGCUUCAGCGGCAGUGAAAAGUGAUUCACAGUUUUAACUUUUCAAUGACAAGUAUAGUUACCAAUAUACCCAUGUUUUCUUCUCCAAUUUCCCAUGAAUAAACAACAUCUUUCUUCUUCUUCCAUAAAAAAACAUAUUUCUUCUUCUUUAUUACUGCACAUCACUUGAAGUAGUAGACUCUUCUUCUUUCUUUUUUGCAUAUCUAUCCUAUUUUUUUUCUUCAGAUUUGUUCUUAAUUGGUGAGUGAUGGAGAAAUGGUAGAAUGAGAGACAAAUAGUGAGAUGAGGAAGGAGAAAGGCAACAAGAGUUGGUGCAGUGAGAGGUGGAGAAGAAGAUGGAAAUGGAUAGAAGAGUAUUGAAGCUUCUCGAGAAAUAGAAAGGGAGACGUGAUGAUCUCAAGAGUGACACAAAUUGGACUUUUUUAAUUUUUUUUUUACUAUUGGGUUUUGGGCUGUGUUGGAGUAUUUGAUAAUUUGGUUUUAAUUAAAAGGAUAAUUUGGUCAUUGUACAUUCAAAAUCAAUUUUGAUUCAAACUAUCCAAACAAAUCAACUCAUAAAAAUCACUUUUAAAAAAGUGUAUCCAAAUAUAAAUCAAUUUACAUCAAACUCACUUUUAACCAAAAUCAAUUAUAUCAAACUCAAUUCUAUCAAAUCAAUUCUUCCCGCCGCCAUACCAAACACACACUACAUGCAUGGCAACUAUCAUACCAAUAUAUCUUGUAAAGAAUUCAUUCUUCAUGUAUUAAACAAGAUUUUUAAAGUCAUGCAUAUCAUGUGAGAAUAAAUAUUAUAAAUAUGUUAAAAAUAGAAAGUGAUCGUAAAUUCUAACAUAUAUUAUAUUUGUAUUAUGUAUCUAUAUAUCAAAUAAUAGAGUUUUUUUAAUUAUCGCAUAAAAAAUGUCAUUAUUUUUUAAACAAAUUAUAAUUUUCAUGAGAUAUGACUUUGAACUUAAUGGGCAACACCAUCAACAUUAAUUAUUUCCUUAGUCUCUCAAUUCAUUCCAUCUAUUCUUUUGCAUUUUCUCAUUUUCUUUAGAUUUCUUUCUUAUUUUCACAAACAUACAUAAAAAGACACGUUAUCGAACACAUUAGUAAUUUAUUACUGAGCUGUGCUAUUGAGCACGACAAAAAUCCAGGCACGACACGCACGACUAGUUAUGUGGCACAAUCCUCUUUGUUUAAAUUAAAUUUUAAUUAAAAUAAAUUUUAAAAACUGAAAUAGCGGAAGGUAGAAUACACGAUCGUGUGUAUUUUGACGACAACCAUGUGUCGUGCAAUAUACCAUUUUCCUUUAUUAAUACUUAAAAAAUUGGUAUCUCUAUAACUUUGUCAAGAUAGUGUUACAAAAAGUUGGUGCCACUCUAAAUAUUUUGAGUUCUUUGAUAUUUUCGAUUUCGAUUAUUUUGUUGUGACAUUUGGUCUGACGUGAUAUACAAUCACUUAAAACCACAAUUUAUUCACCACUCAAGAAAAUCAGUGUUCCGAUACGACGGGAGACCGUUGCAAAUAUGACCACCAUCUUUUUGAACUAAAAAAAUGGAUCAGAGGCUUUGAUGAACCUUGUGCGCAAAGGAAGAAAAUAUUCAGAAGACUUUUGAUUUAAUUUUUUAUUAAAAGAUUAAACCAACACAGCCGGUUGACAGUUUUAUUUGCUUUUCAUGAUGUUUAUAUGGACCAAAAGUUGAGAAAGUAUCUAAAAGUGUUUGUUAGAGUACCUGUCCUUAGUAGUCACUUGUAAUAAAAUGACAUAUACACGCACACGCUACAUUGUUAUAAAAGUGUUUGUUAGAGUGACUGUCCUUAGUAGUCCUUUGUAAUAAAAUAACAUAUACACGCAGUCACUACUGUGUUAGUAAUUUUGUAUGUGUUGUUAGUCAUUUGCAAUAAAUUACAUACAAAAUUUUUUUUGCUUAUAAUUUACAAUUUUAAAUAUUUUACCAUUUAGUUGAAAUAUUUUUUUUAUUUGUACAAUACUCACAAUGUGUUGAUUUUGUUAAAGGAGUUUAAAUUUUAUACUAAAAGCUAGAUUAAAGGAUGAGAUUGCCUAAUCACAUUUAUAUAUCUAACAACUUAAGAAUUUGGUAACGUAAGACUCCAAUAAACCUUCAGGGUGCGUUUGAUGGUCAGGAUAGAAAAGAUAUAUCAUAUCAUAUUAUAAUCCUUUGUUUGAUACAUCAAUAAAAUAUGAUAAGUUAUUCCUUUUAUUUAUCCUAUUUUAUCCUAUCACUCCUUUGUAAUUUCUAUCUAAGUUUAUGUAGGGUUAUAAUUAUCCUAUCAAAUAGAAAAUCCUAAUUUUACCGUCACCUUUGUCUUCUCUCUAAUUCGUCCAUGCUUUCCACUCAUCUUCUUCCUCUUGUUCAUGCCAUCAUCAUGUAUGUUAUAUUGUAAAUUUUAUCAAUUCCUCUUCUCUUAUUAUCGUACAGAUUGCUUUUGUUCUUGUUCUUAUUCAAUUUUUUCUUUAUUGAUUUCAAUUUUUCAUCAAUCGAUUUUUCCUCCUUAUUUUAUUGAAUUCCUUUUUUUGUCCGAUUUCUCUUAUAUUUAUUUCAUUUCGAUUUCUCAUCCUUUUUCAAUUCUUUUUGUGUUGAAUUCCUCUGUUUCCAUCGCUCUUCCUUUCCUCUGUGUGUCGAUUUUUUUACAGAUUCCUUUCUCUUUUUUAUUUUUUUAUUUUAUAGAUUUCAAUUUUUUCCUUCUUUUCUCUUGUAAAAAAAUUAAAAAAUUUAUUUUCUUUGAUGUUCAUGUGCAAUACGAAAAUCCGUUAAAAUAAUAUAAUUGAUUAAAAGGGUAAUUUUGUCAUUUAAUAUGAUAAAGAAAAUGUUAUCCAUAUUGUUAUCAUGUCCACAUCAAACAUAUGAUAGGAUAAAUUUAUCAUGUACAUAUCAUAUCCUGCCUCUAUCCAGUUUUAUAUCAUAUUCUGUCUUUAUCCUAUUCUGACCAUCAAACACACCCUAAAUACCUAACUCUCACGUCUAGUGUGCCUCCCAAAUCCAAUUCUAAUACGGUAAUCAUGAACACAACCCGGAUAUCGCGUACCGGAGAAUUGCAAACUAGGUGACAUUUUGAAGUACUAUAUCAAGGUUAAAUCGUAAACUCUAAUCAAUAAUGUUAGUCAUAUAAAAAUAAUAUAAAGAUAAGUGAAAAUCACUUAUUUGUUGAAGUCAUAAUCAAGGUUAUUACUGGACUCGCGGAGAUGUGAGAUUGAAUCUCCCUUUUUCUAAUCACGUGCUCGAGGAUUUGAAUUCUCAAUGAAGUUAACCGCAAAGGAGCUAAUCGUUAGAAUGAUGGCAAAGGAGAUCAAACCUCUCUAUUUACACUUUUGUUUUCUUUAUAAAAGGGACCGAAACGAGUAACUAUUUUUUCCCUCAAGAACUAAAAAAACGAGCAAUUCAGUUUUUGGGCUCCAAAAGUUAGUGGCUACGUAAUGACAAAUAAGAGGGGAAGAAUGGUGGAAAGUGGGUGAUACUCCAGAAGGAUUGUAUGCUUGGAAUGAAAGCACGUUUUAUGUGUAGUGUAAAUUGUAUUCUAUGGAAUAGUAUUAUAAUUAAGACCACUGUGUUGUCCUGUUUCAUGACCAUGUAACUUACUUUGUGGCUCUCACAAUGUUACAUAGUUUUAUUUUAGGUGAGAUACGGACAUAAUACGCCUACCCUUCUUGACUUAUAUAUUACGGACAAAUAUUGUUUUGUUUAUUCUCACUCCAAAGGUUAAAAAUGUGUCAUCCUAAGGUUUUAACUUAAUAUUUUUUGAGUUAAAAAAAUUCUUAGUCAAACUAUAUUUAUCUUUGUGGCGCCGUUUAGCGUACGCAGACUUAAUAGGUCAUGUAUGGUGUGAGACUUGAUAUUGCCUUUUUUUUUUUGUUGAAUAAUGUGAUAUACGCUUUACAUACGGUUAAGUAGAACACUAGGUGGAACGGCGCCACAAAUUAAUCUCUAUAUUAAUAUUAUAUUAUUUGUUGUAUUAAAAAAGAUAGAGAUUUACAUAUUUGUUAAAUUAUUGUUGUUAUUGAAAAAUAUAAACACGGUUUUUUUGGGUUUCUUUCGAUUUGAAAGUCACAAAUAUUUGUACUUAUAGUUUUAGUCAAAAUCAAAAUUUCAUAUAAAAUACCAUUCAUAAUUUACACGUGUUAGCGCAAUAAAAGGAGCAAAAAGACGGACACGUAAGUGUCUGUCUUUUCGCUGGCAAAAUAUAAGGACAAUUAUCAAUAACAAUUUUAAAAUUCAGUCUUGUAAUUUUUUCAUUAUAUACGGUGUAAAUCCAUCUGUUUCAAAGGCUUUCCGCAACAUCCAAAGGCCAUAAUUCUACUAUGUUUUUCAACAGUAGUAUUUUUGUUCAUUGAUUAAAUCACCCUUUUUAAAUGAAACUAUAAAUUCCAUAAUGUUUAUCAACAAUACAAAUUUUAACAUGUCAACUUGUGGGACCUUUUAGAUCCAUCCCUACCGUUUGCUUAUAAAAGUAAAUCCAAUGGUACCUAAACAACUUGCAACAAAGAAAAAAUUAAGAGAUCUUGCACGGUGAGAGACCUAUAAUGGUCUCCUACCGUAGCCACAACCGUAGUACCAUUAAACUCUGGAUUAUGAUAGCCCAUCUCUUUUGUAAUUCUUCCACUAUUUUGAUUUUAGAGCUUUUUUUUUAUGUUAGAACCGUUCUAAAGCAUAAUAAGAACGAAAUGUUUCAAGACAUGAUUUAUUCCAAGAUGAUUAGAAUAAGAGAAAAUGGAAACAGAUUAUAUAAAUCUCAUCAAACAAGUGCAUGUAUGCUAAUGCUGUCAAUGACUAUGAAAUGACUCAUCCAUGACCCAUGUUUAUCUCAAAAUAAGAAAGGAACACCCAAAAAUAGUAAUCACUAAGGCCUUUUUAAUUGAAUUAGUUUUGAAAAGAUUUAUUUUCUUAUUUUAGAAAAAUCUAUAGAGAAAUUUUCUCUAUAGAAUUCUUCAUUGGAUGCAUAUGAGAUAAUUAAGAGUUUUUUAUUUAUUUUUAAAAGCAAUAGUUAAAGAGUUGUUUUUUUUUAUUUAAUUGAUUGUUUCUUUUUAUUUGAAAAAUAUUCAAUUUUAAAUAAAAGUUAGCAACAAACAUCUAAUUAUGAGAUAAUUAGAAUGAGUUUUUAUUUUGGUGCUUCUAAUUUUAGUAGUUGAUUAAAAAAAAAAUCAGCAGUAAUUUUGGUAAUAGUACAAUAUGAACGUGAAUAUGCAAAAGUAAUGAGCAACCAAUAGAAAAAAAGAAUUAGAAAAGCAACCAAUAAAAUAUUGUAAAGAAUAUCCCAUUCCCAUUGGUGUAUUCCUUCCAUGUGCCACUAAAUUCAAGAGGAUCCAAAACAUCCACAUCCCUUUUAUAACCCUACACGCUUUCUCUCAAAUGAUUCUCAUUACUUCUAGUCUCUCUAUAUAAACCACAUUGAUAUAGUUCUACUAUUACAACCAUCAUUCACAACAAAGAAAAUCUCAACAAAAAAAAGGAAAUAUUUUUUGCUCAUUUUAUUAGAGUGACUAAAAUAAAAUGGCAGCCAUGGUAGAGGUAUGGAUUGGAGAGCUAGCCAAGCUCAAAGAGAAAGUUCUAACCAACAAAACCAAAAUUUCUAAAUCCAAAAAUGGUUUAGAAGAAGAGAAGGAAGUGGGAAGAGAAGCUCAAAAGGAGGUCAUAGGUGCUCAAAGAGACACUACAACCUUGUCUGAGUCAACAAUAUGUUUGCUUAUGGAUAGAUUUGUGCCUUGCUAAAAUAUGUUGUUUAUUCAACUAUAUCAAUGUGAUUUGGUUCCUAGAUAAGAAAAUUUGUAAUGAAAUGUUAUAUAUGUUGUGUUAGUAUAAUGUAAUUAGUUGUUUAAUUGUUCUUGGAUGGUUUGAUUACAAUUAUUAAAGCAAUAAACCAUUUAGUUGAAAUAAUUUGUGCAUAUCUUUUCAAACUUUUGGGUUAUUAAUAUUUGCUCCUAUAAUGUUAGCUUUAUGAACGAACUUUUUUGAGAUGGUUUUGCAGGAAAAUAUCUACGACUUCUCUUUCUCUCUCUUAAUUUUUCUUUCCUUUUCUUAUAUCUCCUAUUUCAACCUUGGCUCAAGUUCAAUCCACUUAUGGACUUGCUCACUAGGGAGUAUGCUAUGAGAUUCCCCAGGGGAGCACCCAAGAGAAUCCGGUAAUGGUGAUCAAAUGUUGAUAUGCAAAUAACGUCGAGGACAGUCUAACAAAAUCAAUGAUUCCGACAGGAAAAUUCUACAGUCUUCCUUAUAAUUAAGGACAGAUGAUCGUUAAAGGGACACAUUCUCUAAACCCUAAAAACUUCACCCCCUUUGAUCACUGACUAACUUGAUUAUUGUAGUGUUUGCAAGUAUACAAUCCUUUAUGAAGAGCUAUCGUCGUCCUUUCUUCCACCACUCUGGCUUUCGAUUUAGGUCCACUCCGGCUUUUGAUUUAGGUCCUUUCUUCCUUAUUCAAUCUUAAUAAAAUGAAGUUUUUAAUGAACAUUAUUUUUAUGUAUCGUUUUGAACACCUACAAUCAACUAUAUAUCGAGCAAUGAGUCUCCAAAGAAGUAGCUUAGGUUGUGACACCGAAGAAGUUAUAUGUAGGAAGUUCAUAUUUAAAUUGCUUUCUACGAACAUUUCUUGCCUUUAAAAAAAACUUCUAGUAAAAAAAAUAACAUGAAAAGUUUUGAACAAAGUUUUAAGUCCAACAAAAAUGGUUAUUGAAACUUUUUCCAUCUUCAAGACAUGUAAUUAGUGACAUUAAAAAGUGUUUAUAAUACUCCUGUAAUUUAAGUUUACAUGCAUUGAAAAGUGUUUAUAAUAUUCCUGAAUUAUAAGGUUAUUAUGAUUUCCAACGCGGUUUAUUGACACAUUAUAUGCCCCAUUUUACACGUUAAGGUCAAACUAGAUGAUGACUGAAAUAAUUAGAGAAGUAAAAUAAUUAUUAAUUAGGAUAAGUGUUAAAAUUGACUAAGUUGAUG